UGUUUCGGUGUCCAGGCUCAUUUGCACCCGGUCAGAAUAAAUGAAAAUAAAUCCUAGAAAAUUUAAAAAAAUUCCAAUUUUUUGUGUGGUAGAUAAAUUUCUGCGUGAGGUCCUCUCCAAUUUCAACUCAUUUGGACAUCUGAGCAGCUCUCAGCAAAAAAGACAAAUCAGGGCAGGUGCAGCUAAGCCAAGGCUCAGAAGUGGAUUAUCGGAGGUAAGAAUGUAUCACACAAAUUGGUUGCUUGCCUUCUAUAUCAAUAAAAAUUCACGAGUACUCCAAGGUUCAAAUGGCUAAUGUCUGCGACAUUUGUGGUACUAGUGUAAUACCGUGCACCUUAUAGAUCAGGAACAGGUACCACAAUUCUGAGUGAUGGUUCGACACAGUCAUCUUUAUGGGAUUGUGAGUCAACGUUUUUUCGUUUGUAAUGUGAUAUGUAACUGUAUUGUAUAUCAAAUUGAGGGGUAACUUACUACGUACACUAAUUAUGUAUAGAAUAUACCUUGCCGAGGUGUUAAGCAAUUUAGUUACUACAUCGAACAACACUAUUUCACAGCAGAGACUUCUCAUGGAUCAAGCUACAGGAUGUGUGCGAGAGAUAAUGGAGAUAUAAUUCGUAUAAGUGGCUUUGGAUGAGAUUGCUUUUGCUACGACGACGAUAUAAGAAGAGGAGACACGAUAUAUUUUUGCUACAACUAUAGAGAUUUUGUCAUGUAUAUGUCCCUCAUACUUCCAAAUGGUGAACCAAAGGAUAUAAUUAGUAAGUACAUAUUGUUUUAUAUUAGUUUUUAUUUAGUAAUACUUUUAUAUAGUUAACAAUUAUUCAAUUUUUUAAAUUCAUAAAGAUGACGUAUUUGAUGAAGGAGAAAGACCUGUUGCAUAAAGCACCGAGUUUAAUCUAACACAAAGGCAAGUCAACAACAUGCACACUCUAUUACAGACGAAUGAGGACUAUCCUACGCAGAUCCAAUGCUUUACAGCUGCGGACAUGUCUGAUAAUCAUUUGGUAAGUAAUAUACAAUAUGUAAAAUGCAAUCUCAUCACUUCACAUUUUAAUAAAAUGUUACCUUUUUGAAUAGUUGGGAGCCUUGCUCUACAACAAUAUGGUUCUGUUUUACUGUAAAUGAGCCGACAACCACAACAAUCAAUAGAAGUUGAUUAUCAUAUUAAAAGAGACGACCGUCUCAAAAUUAAUGGUCCUGCGUGGAGUAAUUUUGUAAGUCAACAUGAGAUCGAUCUUGAGGGGUGGGUAGUAAUACUUUUUAUUCCUGAAAACAAUAGGCAAGAAAUGAGUUGAGAUUCAAAUGUAUUACGCCAGUUGGAAGCCAAGUAUUAAGUUCUGAUGAAGAUUCCGAUUCAGAAGAUGAA